AACACAGGGCAGAAAAAAGAAUACCGGCGGAAAGACCAAAGUGAGAGUAGUUGAGUUUUGAUUUCUUAUAUCAAUAUUUUAUUACCUAAGAACAUUCCUCAGCAUACACAAUCCUACCUUAAAAUGCUUGGAGCUGUAGCAGCUUCCACAACACUAUCCUUUUCACCAUCCAACCACUCCAAUAGAAUUGUUGUUCUCAAAGGAAUCUCAAAUUCAACAUUGCCAGUGAGCCAUGCCCACUGUUUCUCACUCUCAUCAGCUGCCCCUUUGCAUUUGUCUUUCUGCAAGAGCAUUAGAAGACUACCCCUUUUCCUUGCACAAGCUGCUUCAUCUUCUGCUACAAAUGCUGAAUAUGUGAAGGAACCAGCAACGAAUGUGAAAUUCCAGACAUCUUCAAGUUUUCCGGGUUGCUCAGAUUCAUUAAUUUUGUUUGGAACUGGAUAUAGAGAGAAAGUUUUUGCAAUUAUUGGUGUCAAGGUCUAUGCUGCAGGUUUGUAUCUAAAUCAAUCUAUCACAAUUGAGUUGAAUGCUUGGAAAGGGCAAUCAAAAGAUGCAAUUCAAGGGAAUUCUUCCUUGUUCAAGACCAUUUUCCAAUCUUCUCAUGAGAAAUCAUUGCAAAUUAUUCUUGUUAGAGAUGUUGAUGGUAAAACUUUUUGGGAUGCCUUAAGUGAUGCCAUAUCACCAAGAAUAGCACAACCCACAACUGCAGAUGAAACCGCCUUGACAACUUUCCGUGGUGUCUUUCUAGAUCGCCCUCUUAAGAAAGGAACUUUUAUAAUUUUGACUUGGUUGAACCCCUCCAAACUGCUUGUUUCUGUCUCCUCACAUGCACUUCCAUCUACUGUGGAUGCUACAAUUGAAUCUGCAAAUGUGACUUCUGCUCUUUUUGAUGUAUUCCUUGGAGAUAGUCCUGUUUCUCCCUCCUUGAAAGCUUCAGUGGCUGAAGGCUUGUCAAAAGUACUCAAAUAAAAACGUUUAGUGUCUCUUGAGAGAGUUUCAUGCAUCGAUGUAAAAGCCUCAAAACAUAUGAUUAGUUCAGAAAAUUAUCUGCAAAAUGUUCGCCCAUACAAUGGUUCCAACAAAUCCAGGUCACUAAUGGACACACUAUACCCAUUACUGCUGUUGGAGAUAUCACUCUAAUUUUGAACAAUGCCUUUGAUCUGGUGUCGGGGACAGUGAUCGCGAAGGGACCUAAAGUUGGACGUUUGUUUCCUCUGCAAUUUUCUAUUCCUUAUCAUGUGACAUUUUCUACUCAUGUCAAUAAAAGUGAAGUAUGGCAUAGGCGGUUGGGACAUCCCAAUUCUCUCAUUUUGUCUCGUUUGUUGAAUUCUGGUUGUUUGGAAAACACUAAACCCGUGUCUUUUGAUUGUUCUACAUGUAAACUGGAAAAAAGUAAAAUACUUCCGUUUCCAAUAAUUGGUAGUCGUGCAGAACCCUGUUUUGAUAUUAUUCAUAGUGAUGUAUGGGGGAUCACACCUGUUAUUUCUCAUGCCGACUAUAAAUAUUUUGUGACAUUUAUUGAUGACUACAGUCAGUUUACUU